UGAGGAAUAUUGGUCAAUGGGCGGGAGCCUGAACCAGCCAAGUCGCGUGAGGGAGGAAGGUCCUACGGAUUGUAAACCUCUUUAGCCGGGGAGCAACGUGCGCCACGUGUGGCGCAAUGAGAGUACCCGGAGAAUAAGCAUCGGCUAACUCCGUGCCAGCAGCCGCGGUAAUACGGAGGAUGCGAGCGUUAUCCGGAUUUAUUGGGUUUAAAGGGUGCGCAGGCGGCGCGAAAAGUCAGCGGUCAAAGUUCCGGGCUCAACCCGGUGACGCCGUUGAAACUUUCGG
rnacentral:rRNA from 1 species